rnacentral:sRNA from 1 species
GCUAGGCACUGUGGCGCAUGCCUGUAAUCCCAGUGGCUCGGGAGGCUGAGGCAGGAGGGUCAUGAGUUCAAAGCCAGCCUCAG